rnacentral:lncRNA from 1 species
CUGCAUGUGUCCUGACACCUGGAGCUGACUCACUGUAUUUUCUCCUGUGGUACCAGGUAACAGUUGUAGCAAAGAAACUCAUAGAGCAACUAUGGGGCUGCAUGGAGCAAGGAGCUGCUGACUGCUGAACUCCUUAGAAUAUGAACAGACAGCCUCGGGGAUUUGAGGUAAAGGAAGAUUUUGAAGGGCAGCAGGCAGUUGGAGUCAGAGGAAACAAUUUCAGAAUGGUUUGAGGCAGCAGCUGCACUUGUGAUCAGACAGGCUACACCUUGCAGAGCUCUUGGCAUUUUUUCUCAUCUCACUGCAAGACUUUACAGUCUGAGUUCUCCUUCCCAAACCAAGUUGAUCCACACAAGAGAGCUUCUGCUGCUGGACUGUACUGGGUAAGGCAUGGAUGUAAGGUAGGCCCUUUGUGUGGGUGGUACAAUAUUGCUUUUAGUUCAAGCGUGCCGCGUGUUGUUUUGCAAAUACGAUCAUUAGAUAUUUUGUUGUUCUGGUGCCUUAUAAUGAUUUCAAGUCUGACCUGAACAAGUCUUAGCCUUGUUUCUAAUUGAAAUGACACACAUUCAGUGCUUCAGGCCUUGAAACCUCCGGUGUCUUAAAGAGCUCAGUUAAUGUAUGGAAACACGGUAACCUCUGCAUAUGAAGACCACUGUCCUGCUCUAAACAAAAUCCUCCAGAGCUGGUA